ensembl:lncRNA
CACAAUCAGAGGGCGUCAGAAGAGUUUAGUGGAAGCUGCGGUGGUUUAUGCCUGUAAUCCCAGCACUUGGGAAGUAGAAGCAGAAAGAUAAGAAGUGAAACGUCACCCUCAGUAAAUUCAAGUACGUUUGGAAGCACAGACGUCAUGAAAGAUAAAGAUUGGUUAGGUCUUGGCAGUUAGCAAAGAUGGGCCAGGUGCUGGUGGCACGCACUGCCUGCUGACGUCCUCCCACAGAGGAUGACAGGCGAAUUGCUCACCCUCGGUCCUGGACUUCGUCAUCUGGAGGCGGCUCUUCCUGGUGGUUGGUGGGAGCCUGGACUCUGCCUUCUGAAUUCAGCUCCCUGUAACCCAUCUGCUUCGCCACUAGAGGCGGCAAAUGCAAGGCUCUGGGCUACGCUCUACAAACAGUCCAGGCAGAGGGUGGGAAGACUGCAGGGUGCGGUGGCCAGAAUGUGGCGUCACGCUUCCUGGGGACAAGCGCACUUCCUCAGACUCAUGCAAUUACAGUCAUGAUGAACACAGCUGGAAACAAGCGAAAGCGAUGCUGCAAUACUCCCUGUGAAGACAAUGCAAACGUCCCAUGGGCGUUGGACCGCAAUCGUCACGCGGCGGUGUGUUUUCUUCCACUUAAGAGUGACCGGAGAUUCUCUUUGUGACUUCGUACUGUGGAAGACCUGAAGGAACUCAACUGAUGUCUCCAAUCCUACUUUACCACCACCUGGAUUAUUCAAGACAAGUCUCUGGUUUGUCUGUGACAGGAUUCGAACUCCACAGUGAGAAACCCGGCCUUGCUACCUUGUUCCUUGAUUCUAGGUGCUUGGACAGAAGCAUCAGACUCCUUUGUCAAUCAGCUUUUCCAGAUGGAGACAAGUUCUAUGUGCAACUCUUUCAGAGUUCACUCACUUCUACUUAGGUGCCCAGAGUAAGAAGCUUUCGAACAUUCAAGAUUUGGCUUCGAGGGGCUGGAAAGAUGGCUCAGCGGUUAAGAGUACUGGCUGUUCUUCCAGAGGUCCCAGGUUCAAUUCCCAGCACCCACAUGGCUGCUCACAACUGUCUGUAGCUCCAGUUCCAGGGGAUCUGAUACCUUCAUACCAAUGUGCAUCAAAUAAAGUUAAGUAAAUUAUUUAAAAUGUAUUUAGAAAUUAAAGAAUUAAAAGAAAUUAUUUGGGUUCAUUCACAACCCACAGCACAACCAUGGCCGAGGGAACGUUGCUGCUGGAGGUGUAGUAGACAUUUACACUGCUUUACAGGAGGUGCUGAAGGCCUAGUCUGCAGAAUUUUGAGUGACCACCAAAACCUUAGAUGAGAGCCACGGUGCUGUCUGUGUGCUGGUGUCCAGUUGUGAGGAGCCUCUGUAAGUCAAGCUGGUAGAGACCCUUUGAGCCGAGCACCAAGCAACCCCAUCAAGGUCGAUCACAGUAAAAAACUAGGGGGGAUGGGUCAACCUCUGUAAAACUGAUGAUGAGGGGAGCCACACAAAGGAGUUGAUUGCAUUUGUGUAGUGGUUAAGGAUCAUGGCAAACAACCUGAGGCCAAGGAUGUUAUCCAAGAGUACUUUAAAU